rnacentral:rRNA from 1 species
ACCUUUACUACAUGGAUAACCGUGGUAAUUCUAGAGCUAAUACAUGCUAAAAGCCCCGACUUCGGGAGGGGCGUAUUUAUUAGAUAAAAAACCAACGCCCUUCGGGGCUCCUUGGUGAUUCAUAAUAACUAAACGGAUCGCAUGGCCUUGCGCCGGCGACGGUUCAUUCAAAUUUCUGCCCUAUCAACUUUCGAUGGUAGGAUAGUGGCCUACCAUGGUAGCAACGGGUAACGGGAAAUUAGGGUUUGAUUCCGGAGAGUGAGCCUGAGAAACGGCUGACACAUCCAAGGAAGGCAGCAGGCGCGCAAAUUACCCAAUGCCAACUCUGGCGAGGUAGUGACAAUAAAUACUGAUACAGGGCUCUUUUGGGUCUUGUAAUCGGAAUGAGAACAAUUUAAAUCCCUUAACGAGGAACAAUUGGAGGGCAAGUCUGGUG